rnacentral:rRNA from 1 species
GAUGAACGCUGGCGGCGUGCCUAACACAUGCAAGUCGAGCGAUCUCUUCGGAGAGAGCGGCGGACGGGUGAGUAACGCGUGGGUAACCUGCCCUGUACACACGGAUAACAUACCGAAAGGUAUGCUAAUACGGGAUAAUAUAUAAAAGUCGCAUGGCUUUUAUAUCAAAGCUUUUGCGGUACAGGAUGGACCCGCGUCUGAUUAGCUAGUUGGUAGGUAACGGCUUACCAAGGCGACGAUCAGUAGCCGACCUGAGAGGGUGAUCGGCCACACUGGAACUGAUACACGGUCCAGACUCCUACGGGAGGCAGCAGUGGGGAAUAUUGCACAAUGGGCGAAAGCCUGAUGCAGCAACGCCGCGUGAGCGAUGAAGGCCUUCGGGUCGUAAAGCUCUGUCCUCAAGGAAGAUAAUGACGGUACUUGAGGAGGAAGCCCCGGCUAACUACGUGCCAGCAGCCGCCGUAA